rnacentral:rRNA from 1 species
AAUCCCGUGAACCAUCGAGUUUUUGAACGCAAGUUGCGCCCGAAGCCUUCGGGCCGAGGGCACGCCUGCCUGGGCGUCACGCAUCGCGUCGCCCCCUCCCCUCGCUCCCUGGAGCGGGGGGCGGAUACUGGCCUCCCGUGCGCCUCGUCGCGCGGCCGGCCC